ACGACAUGCGUUAGUUGAAUGUACCCAUUGAAGCACAUACGAGGAUAAGAAUCUUAAUUUAGAAAUUUACAAGGAUAAAUCAUUCCAUAAUGGAAGAAGAAGGAACACGGCACAAAACGACGCAAAAUAUGGGGCACAAGAAAUCACGCACUACUCCAGCACUUCGACAGUGAAAGUUCUGGACAGACUGAGAAUGCCUAUCACCCGGAUGAGCGCGAUAACAGAAAAAUCAUGGGAGAUCGAGAGAGAUGAGUAGCCCAAGUAGCAACCGAAGCCUGUUUCUCCCAGUUUCAACCCCCUCAUGUCCAAAAACUGCCUUCGCUCACUAUUCCUAUCCCAUUUCUACAUUCUACAACGUUUGUUGCGUUCUCGCUCAUCAGGGUGUUAGUCAAUUCUCUCUUGCCACACGAAGAAAAUUAUCCUGCACACUUCGUGUGUUGGAUUCUACCCAUCCCUGUUGAACAUACGUCAUUUUCUUCCAUCGCACUCAUCAGGGUGUUUGCUCUUUUCCAUCCAAGCCAAAGAGCGACUUCAGUGUGCUCUGAACCGUGGAUGUGAGAGUGUGUGUUUGUGUGCUGCAUGAACUAUUUUUCCUGCGUGAAACACUUUCCCGUACUGCGCCAUCCGCGGUGUUCUUUCUGCUUCAUCGGAGGACGAAUUUUUAUCAUCUAAUUGUUUGGUUUCAGAUGUGUGCUGCUACCGCUAGCUGUUCCUCAAACUACUUAAAAAGUGUGACACUGUGUGCACAGGCGUUCAAGUUUCAAUUGAUCCUCAAGCACAAAGCCUUCAUACAACACCGCGGUUGAGGUGCGCCAAAUCUGAUGACAUCUUUCCUGAACCAAGCAGGCUUAACACGCGCACCACCACGGGCUCCAGCGCGGUGUGAAGAGGGAAGAAGAAAAUACAGAAUUGGAAACAGCCCAAAUGACAAUCCAGCCUGCUCUCACUAUGGCGAGCUCAAUGACAGCUGCUUCAACCCAUACUGAGAGGCUAUCAUCGUUUCCUCCUGCAUACUGAGCAAGCUUGUUUUUUCCCCUCGCUUAGGCGAGAUGAUUUUGUUUGUAUGGUGAGCAGAUCUAUCGCCGAUGAUUGCUCUAAUGAGAUGAUCGGGCAACAGCCGCUCACAUGAUGAAAUCAUGAUGAGGUCGGAUUUUGGAGUGAGUAAAAAUUUCUUCCCCACAUCGAGCCGCCAUUGUGUUGUGGUUUGAGAACAUUGGAUCAUCUACGAACUGUUUACAUUUGUAAAACGUGCAAUAAUUGACCGCGGGCUACAUUUCUCGAUUCUUUUGUUGAAAGAGCAUAUCAAAUAUCCCAAAUCAGUUAAAAUAUAGUGAAAUAUUGUACCGGACACACGAUGCUUUGAAGAAAACGUGAGGGCAAACAUGGGAAGAUGAUGAACAUUUUACCUUACUAAUAGUUGAUUUACAGCCUCUAGGCAUCAACAAAACAUGAAGCAGCGUUUAACGAUGAAGAAGAUACCCAGUUGUGCGAUAACCGUUAACGUUGAAAAUCAAGAGGAAUACAUGGAUUGAAAAUACUUAAAGAGAAUACGCAUCGAGUCGAAUUUAAAACGGAAAAUAAUGGUCUACAAAAAGCGAAAAUAAUGGCAAAGGAAACGAGUGCGACUGGGCCGCAAUACCAUCCAAUAUUUCAUGAAAGGCCAUGUUUUGGAUUGCCAUGAUUGUUAGCAAUGGCGGAUUAAGACGAAUGGAGGCCCUAAGCGGUCAUACAAAAGUAGAGGCUUGGUUGAAGCGUCUAGCAGGGGAUUGUAUCAAAUAUCCUAACCAGAGAAGGAUUGAGUAGCAAUUAUGCUUGUAAGCGGAUGGUAGGUGCCAUUUUUGGGGCCCCUGGCCGACUCAGAUGUUCGACGCUUAAACAACUAAACACACAUUAAAACUGAAGGAAAUACACAUCUAAUCAAUUACUUUAAAAAAUAAUAUAAUUGUAUUGAUUCGUGAUGUAUUUUGUAGUUUUGACCUGCAUGUACAAUUCUAAAAUAUUCCUAUGAAUCACAGAAAGGCCUAAAGCCUAAAAGCCUGCCUUAUAAGCUUGAAUAUUACACGUGGCAAAGAACCCUAAAAAAGCUGAAUAAAAUCACGUGCUUUUAAUGGUUUGUAGUGUAAAUUGAUUGACAGAGCCGGCUGGCCACAUGUACAUAACAUGUGCUGUUUUGCAGUGUUCUUACAUCCUCCGUUAUUUUCAAAUUCAUCCAUGCUUAGAGAGCGUACACCGCUUUUCCACUGCUAGUCAUAUUGAAAUUGCUUUAGUCAUAAUUUGCACUUGGAGGAUUUACACAUUCUAUUUUCCCCUAAUUUUCUUCAAAUCCUUUUUCUUUGUCUAGCUUGGAUCCUAAAUCAGCAGCUUCCAUUCAAAAAGAAUCAAAUUUAGUUUCCACAAUUCACGAAAACAAAAUUCAUUACUUGCACUCUCCAUCGUUUGCUCUUCAUCAUUCCUUGUUGUUUCUUGAACACCAUGCAAUCAUCAAAGGCAACACGAUAUCAUCGUCAAUAUUUUCACUUGUGCGUGGAUCUAUUUCUGCUCCAAGGUUCGAUGCGUCUACUAGUGCCUUUCCAACGACCCAAAUUUCGAAGCCUUCAAUGGUUUACAUGUUUAAUUGAGAUGUUCUGACUUGAUGUACUGCGGAUCAAAUCCAACCACGGCAGUACAACAAGUCAGCAGAUGAACUGAAUAGAAAGGAAGAGUCAGAGUGUACUAGGGAUGGUAACGGUGGAAAAAGUGAAAGAGGGGAAUACCUUUUUUUUUCGCCAUGACUACCAUGACGAUGAUUGCACUGAUUUUCCCCUUCCUUUUUUCUCACAGCACGCUGCUCAUAGUGAGAUCGCUUUCGUCUGAAAAGCGGAACGGAAAGCGACUUGCAUCAAAUGUCAACCCGAUUUUCCGUGCUGAAAUUGUCAUCCGGGAGCCGCACCAGGCUUCCAACCACCGUGUGUGUGUAUGUAAGUAUGUGAGAACACAUGUGUGAAUCCUCUUGUGGGAACUGCAAAAAGAAGAGAAUAAAGAGUGUGAAGCAGCUAGACUGCCGCAACCAAAUUAAGAGAGUGAAUUCUCAUUUCAAUCCGAAAAACUGGGAGAGAGUGAUGACAUGCGAGAGAGAAUAAAACUAGAAACACGAGAGAGGACACGAAGCGCUUUCGGGGUUUUAUCGCCUUCGCGCACAUUUUGCUUUACGCGCGCGAAAAAGUGAGCCUUGAUCAGCGCGAUGGCUUCCGUACAAAGGCCUUCGGCUUUGCUAUCUGGGAGUCUCGGUUCAGUGGAAUCCACAUGCAGAUGCAUGUGUGUGUGUCACUCGAAGGAUAUCGGUUUCUCCUUCUCCCGUUUUUCGUUCAUGAUUGUUUGCCAGGCCACACGAUCGGCGUUGUGCCAUCCAAAAUCUAGUGAAAAAAGACAUGCUCUCUCGCUUUGACACACAGGAAAGUUUUCCAAUAGCUUCGGUUUUACUGGUUGGGUGUCAGCGUACAGACGGCGUCCACGGGCCUGCCCACGCCCGAAUACAGAGCCGAUUGCAUACGAUUCUAUCUUCACCAUUAUCAUUAGAGAGACAAGGUAUAUACCACCAACGUACCAGAAAGGUAUGCAUGCUUCACUCAUCAGGAUCUAAAGGCAAGGACAAGGCUAAAGAGACUCAGAAAAGUUUCCUCACGGCUACACAUGUCCUCCAGACGCGUUGUCUAUGCGUCUCGCUCGGUAUCACAGCGGCAUACGGCAGGUAAGCAGUACAAAUGUUGCUACCUGAUACGCACACAUGUUUAACGAACACAACUAUUCGGGUUGGCUCGGUAAAGGUUGGGUGGGCGCCAGAACGCAAAAGCGCAGACCUUAUCAUGAUUUUGUAUGACUUUGGCUGUUUUGGACCAUACGUUUAGGCGCUGACACUUAGUCGCGCGUAUAAACCCACCAAACAAAGCCGAAGUCGCUCGAACCUUUUACUCUGUGCCAGAGCGAGAAAGCAUACAUUCUGCAUCAAGUUCUACAGCUGCAAACACAGCGCGUGUAGAUGUGUGUGUGCGCGGAGCGAAUGUAUGGAUGAAGAUGGGAAGCAGCGGGGUUUUCUCGUUCAGUUGAGGGACCCGAACAAUUCUCCAUGGUUUUAUCAGUCCAAUACCAACGCUGCUGAGGGAAGGGUGUGCUAUUUUUUCGCGCGCUGGGAUUCAUGCUCAUGAUUAUGAAAAACUGUAUGUUCUUUGCAAUAUUUGCUUACUAUGUUAUUGUUUUCACCAUUUUCUAAAUUUUUCCCCACUUUUCAAAUCUUCUUCUUCUUCUUUGGCUCAACAACCGUUGUCGGUCAAGGCCUGCCUGUACCACUUUUGAGCUUGGCUUUCAGUGACUAAUUGAUUUCCCACCAUAGCAGGAUAGUCAAUCCUACGUAUGGCGGCACGGUCUAUUUUUGGGGAUUGAACCCAUGACGGGCAUGUUGUUAAGUCGUACGAGUUGACGACAGUACUACGAGGCACACCACUUUUCAAAUAUUUCAUUAAAAUACACGUGAAAGUUUCUAUAGAUAAUAUUUUCAUAGGAACGGCGCUAAAAAGCCGCAUUGCUAAGAUUGUCUAUAUUAUCAAUUUAAAAAAAAGUUUCUGAACCCGUAAUGAAACAAAAAACAAAAAAACGAAAAACUUUUUUUAAGUAUAUUUUGAGUUGCUGAAUCUAGCUCUCGAAGAUCGUUUUUGGAUACGAUGAAUAGUUUCAAAGAUAUUUAUCAAAAACCUGUUGCUUUCUUCGAACACACAUACAGGUGUCCCCCGAGAUACGACUGUAUUUGGGACCGAAAAAAAGUUCCAACGCAAGGCGUAAGUCGAAAAAGUCGUAUGUCGAAUAUCUGUCAAUGUAAAUUUUAUAACCGAAGUUGAAGAGUCGAAAUCUAUGAUAUCGUGUUUUUUAUCUAAAAAAAUGUUCGAUAAUGUAUUAAUUUUACACAAAAAGUCGUUUACACGAUAUAGAUAUUUAAUAUCGGGUAGUUGUGGAAUCUUUAGAAAUUUGUGUGUAACGAUUAUCAGCUCAGAAAUUCAAAAAUAUACAUCAAUUUCUUCUCGAUGACAAUUUUUCACUGUCAAAAUCAAAAUCGUCGUAUCUGCGAAUCGUCGUAACUCGAGGGGGUCGUAACUCGGGGGACGCCUGUAUUUGAAAUGUUCAGCAGUAAGCGGGUAUCUGUUCAUUGCGCGAGUUAAUAUAUUUUUGGAUCAAAUGAUGCGAACGCUUUGAGUUCCAGAUUCUAACUGUCUUUAUUUCUCCUAGUUUGAUUCCUAUCAACUCUAAUCCUAACCUUAUCUUGUAUGUAUGAGUGUACGGCUUAUCUUAUAUGAAUAUGGUGCUUGGCUAUAGCUAUUGGUAAAUAUAGUGGUGUGUCACAUACACAUAGGAUGGUUAACUACUCCCGGGCCAACAAGAAAAGACGUCCUCGUCUUUUAGUGAUACUGCUUGCGGAACAUUUCAUAGUAUUAGAACAACAUUCAUGCUUGGAUAUUUUUGUAUCCUUUGUUUCAUUCGAAACACCUGACAUUUCUGUCAAUGGAUGGUAUGUUGUUCAUGUUGUUCAUGUUCGUAUAAUCCAAAAUGGACUUUUCACAAGGACCUUUACCGAUCGCAAGUGAUUAUAAGACUUAGUUCCUUUUUCCUGACAGAUCUUUGUCGUUGGCCUCUUUCGCAUCAAAAGAUCGUAACGGAUCUUUGAAUUCCUUUGCGACAAAUUGGAGAACAUAACGAAUCUCGAAAUCUGAACAGAUUGUAGCUCCUCAUCACUUAAAAUUGUACAGCCCAUUUUUUUUUCACUUUCUAGUAUAACCAUUCUCAGUAUGCAAAACCACUAUUAACACAAAUAUACAUGUGUAGAACCCACAUGUCCACAUAUUUCGAUGUGUAUAGAUAUAUAAAUAUACUUAAGCAUUAAUAUAUAAAUACACACACGCAUGUACACAUGUAGACUGUCUACACAUCCAUUUGUUUAAGAUGUAGAAGAAUUGCACAAGCCAUAUUUCGCCGUUGAUUAUCUACGUUAUUAUUAUCAUUCCUUCUUUUUAGCAUAAGUGGAAAUAAUCUAGCAUGUUUAUAUCUAUUCUUUGUUUAAGAAAUGCAUUUAUGUUGUCUUAAGUAAAACUUGGCACAUUUGAAUUAUUUUAAA